rnacentral:tRNA from 1 species
GAAAAUCCUUUAGCUGGAUAAGGGGCGGAUGUAGCCAAGUGGAUCAAGGCAGUGGAUUGUGAAUCCACCAUGCGC